UGUGACGUGGCAGCACAGCCCUCCCAAGGAGGCUUGGCUGGACAUGACCCAGCUCAGCAAGUCCAGCAGAGAGCUCCAAUCUCUGAGGAUGCCUCCAAGCUGCUGGAAAACACAGCCCCUGGAGAGGCUUUUCCAUCAGCUGCUGAGUUCUGUUCCCCAUAUCCCCACACACCUCCAUGGGAACAGUUCUUCCACCAUUCCAUCUUUCACCCCGUGUUACCUCUAUUCCCCUCCACCUUUCUGACCUCACAGCCCCAGCAGUUCCACCUGCCCUGUCCUUGUGGGGAGGUGACAGUCACCUGCAGAGACACUCACAGGUGCUGGCUGGCCAGGCAGCAAAACAGAGCAGGGGCCUGUUAAGCUCACACUGGGCCCCUGGCUGAAAUGGAGAGCAGAAAAUGAAAUCCCAGCCCCCAAACUGUCUUCCCCUCCAGCCAAGGAGGGGUUUGCACAAGCAGCAGCACCUCCAAACCCUCUGUCCCUCGCUGACACUGCUCAGGGGACACAGGAGCCACCCCUGCCAGACCCCCAGCUGCCCAUCUCAGAGCUGUUUACCCACAGAGAAUCAGGAAAAAAGGCCACCAGACCUUUUAUGACCUUCAACAGAAAUCCUACAAUACACAUCUUCUUCCAGCAGCUGCUCCACAGCAAGAGCUGGAGGCAUCCCAGGGCUCCAACCCAGUACAGAAAAGAGGGAAUAAGGGAGAAAGGGUCAGAAAUCAUCCUAUGUGAUUUUAGGAGAAGUUCCUUACAACUCCUCAUGGACACAGGAGCCCUCUGACAGCCCAAUCCACCUGUUCCUCAACACCCCUCACAGCCCCUGGCUCAACAGCUCCAGGGGAGCCAAACACCCUGAGGCUGCAGUGAAUAUCCCACAGCCCCUCUGGUGUGGAAGAGGUUUUACAGCGACUUCUAUGAGCCAGAGAGAAGUUUGAGAAGAGGAUCCACUUUCAUCCCUGAAGGAAUCUUCUACCAAGGUCGUUGACACAGAAACCAAGAAAGAAAGAACGAGAAAUGAGAGAAACCUGCAACUGCCUGUUCCAAUGAGCACUUUGUUUUCUUUCCUGAGCAAUGAGUAAACUUCUGAGUUUUGUAAGAAUGUAGAAAAAGCAUGCAUGCUAUAGUAAAAACAGUUUGGAGCCUUCUGAAAA